AGGUUAUUGUGAGCUUGUGUUAAGGAUUUUGAUGGUGAUUAUUGGAGCUAGGACCAUUCGGUUUGAUGAACAAUCAAGACUUGACGAGACGACUACCAAUGGAACCUGAAACUUACGGAACGCGAGAUCGCUAGGUAUUAUCGAAGAUUAUGAAUAGCAAGCGUGUGUUUUUCAGGUACCUAGAUUCUAGACGUGGCUAGAAGUUCGUCUUUAACCGGAAGUUCCUUUGGCUAUGUACAGCCCCGACUUCCGUAGAUGCUGCAGUAGUAUGGUGUCUGACCAGUGUCGUGGCCUAUUACAGCAGUGAAAUUUUAUAUGGUUUAUAGUUGAUGUCUGUUGUGUAUAUGAGGUAUGGCUACAAUAGUUAUCACGGAGGUAAAUUCCCGUGAUGUAAUUUUGACAUAGUGGUUUAUGCCGGGCUAAUACGUUCAUGAUACGGAAACGAUAAGUCCGAGCACGUUGUAUGGUUUUACCGCUGUAU